rnacentral:rRNA from 1 species
UCGAACGAGGAGCACCACUGUAGCAAUACAGCGGUGCUUCUAGUGGCGUACGGGUGAGUAACACGUGGGCAACCUGCCCUUGAGUCCGGGAUACCCUCUCGAAAGGGAGGCUAAUACUGGAUACGUUCUUCGGGCCGCAAGGCUUGGAGAGGAAAGGUAGCGAAAGCUGCCGCUCUUGGAGGGGCUCGCGGCCUAUCAGCUAGUUGGUGAGGUCACGGCUCACCAAGGCUAUGACGGGUAGCUGGUCUGAGAGGACGACCAGCCACACGGGAACUGAGACACGGUCCCGACUCCUACGGGAGGCAGCAGUGGGGAAUUUUCCGCAAUGGGCGAAAGCCUGACGGAGUGACGCCGCGUGGGGGACGAAGGCCUUCGGGUUGUAAACCCCUGUCAGAGGGAAAGAAGGCGGGGCGCGUGAACAGCGCGUUCCGUUGACGGUACCUUCAGAGGAAGCCCCGGCCAACUCUGUGCCAGCAGCCGCGGUAAGACAGAGGGGGCAAGCGUUG